AGCGAACGCUGGCGGCAGGCCUAACACAUGCAAGUCGAGCGGGCGUAGCAAGACGUCAGCGGCAGACGGGUGAGUAACGCGGGGGAACGUACCUAUGGGUUCGGAACAACACAGGGAAAGGUGUUCAAAUACGGGAUAAGCCCCUAAGGGGAAAGAUUUAUCGCCGUAAGAUGGGCCCGCGUCUGAUUAGCUAGUUGGUGGGGUAAGGGCUCACCAAGGCGACGAUCCGUAGCUGGUCUGAGAGGAUGAUCAGCCACAUUGGGACUGAGACACGGCCCAGACUCCUACGGGAGGCAGCAGUGGGGAAUAUUGGACAAUGGGGGCAACCCUGAUCCAGCCAUGCCGCGUGAGUGAUGAAGGCCCUAGGGUUGUAAAGCUCUUUUGUGCGGGAAGAUAAUGACGGUACCGCAAGAAUAAGCCCCGGCUAACUUCGUG
rnacentral:rRNA from 1 species